rnacentral:rRNA from 1 species
CUGUCUAUUAAUAAUAUAUUUAAUUUACUAAAGAGGUGCAAAUACCUCUAUGAUAAUAAAAGACGAGAAGACCCUAGAAAUUUUAUAUAAAGUGUAUUAUAUAUUUAUACUAUCAUUUUGUUGGGGCGACCGAAUAAAAAUUAACCUACUUUAUUUAAUACAUGAGGUUUUUAUCCACAGCGACAAAAUUAUUAACAGGGGAACAGCGCAUGUACUUAUUAAAUUGUUAUCUCCACCCGGAGCCAGAAAGGGACUUUUUUCAAAAACUAAAUCAUAAGUUCUUUUCGAGCAAACACCCAUAUAUGAUCAGGC